rnacentral:rRNA from 1 species
CCUACGGGAGGCAGCAGUGAGGAAUAUUGGUCAAUGGACGGAAGUCUGAACCAGCCAUGCCGCGUGCAGGAAGACGGCUCUAUGAGUUGUAAACUGCUUUUGUACAAGGGUAAACCUGAAUACGUGUAUACAGCUGAAAGUACUGUACGAAUAAGGAUCGGCUAACUCCGUGCCAGCAGCAGCGGUAAUACGGAGGAUCCAAGCGUUAUCCGGAUUUAUUGGGUUUAAAGGGUGCGUAGGCGGGUGGUUAAGUUAGCGGUGAAAUGUCCGGGCUUAACUCGGGAACUGCCUCUAAUACUGUUGAGCUAGAGAGUAGAUGCGGUAGGCGGAAUGUAUGGUGUAGCGGUGAAAUGCUUAGAGAUCAUACAGAACACCGAUUGCGAAGGCAGCUUACCAAGCUAUAUCUGACGUUGAGGCACGAAAGCGUGGGGAGCAAACAGGAUUAGAUACCCUUGUAGUC